CGCGCAGGCGGCUCGAUCAGUGGAAUGUGAAAGACCCUGGCUCAACCAGGGACGUGCAUUCCAUACUGUCGAGCUUGAGUAUAGGAGAGGGUGGGGGAAUUCCCGGUGUAGCGGUGGAAUGCAUUGAUAUCGGGAGGAACACCAGUGGCGAAGGCGCCCACCUGGCCUAAUACUGACGCUCAGGCGCGAAAGCUAGGGGAGCAAACA
rnacentral:rRNA from 1 species